rnacentral:rRNA from 1 species
AUUGAACGCUGGCGGCAGGCCUAACACAUGCAAGUCGAGCGAGCGGCGGACGGGUGAGUAAUGUAUGGGGACUGCCCGAUAGAGGGGGAUAACUACAGGAAACGGUAGCUAAUACCGCAUACUAUGGGAUAACCCAUAUGGGAUUAGCUAGUUGGUGAGGUAAUGGCGCACCAAGGCGACGAUCCCUAGCUGGUCUGAGAGGAUGAUCAGCCCCACUGGGACGGAGACCCGGCCCAGACUCCUACGGAGGCAGCAGUGGGGAAUCUUGCACAAUGGGCGCAAGUCUGAUGAAGCCAUGCCGCGUGAAUUAAGAAGGCCUUCGGGUUGUAAAGUUCUUUCGGUAGCUAGGCGUUAACUACAGAAGAAGCACCGGCUAACUCCGUGCCAGCAGCCGCGGUAAUAC